AAAGCACCAACACCCGCUCAGAUACCAAUCACACCGCGCCUCCACGCUAUGCUCACAGGCCUUCUCUGCUUAGACUGCUCUUGGCAGGGCCACUGCUUCAACCCAGCGGGCUCGGGCCUGGGGUAUGGUUUACAGGCAGUUACUGUCACCAGCGGCGGUGAGGAACCUACAGCCUGGCUGGAUUCUAGAGUACAGGCCUCAAGCCAGAGGAAGUGAAGGGUCUGGUGGCCUCUGGACAGCUCUCCCCUCCGUGUGCCUGAAUGUAUCUGGAAGCCAUCAGAGACAACCAGCCCCAGUUCAUCAUCCAGAGAAGAGGGCUUACAGCAGACCAAGUCUCAGACCAAACACCCCUCUUGCAGGUGUUUCCCAAACUCAUGUGAUCAUGAGACUCAGGGAGGUUCCUUAAUUCCACCUGGGGGUUGUGAGGUGGGGCCGAGGGCUUGU